rnacentral:rRNA from 1 species
UACAGAGGGGGCGAGCGUUAUUCGGAAUUAUUGGGCCUAAAGCGUCCGUAGCUGGCUUGUUAGAUGCCUGGGUAAAUCGAUGCGCUCAACGUAUCGAACUCCGGGUAGACCGGCAAGCUUGGGACCGGGAGAGGCGUGAGCUACUCGAGGGGUAGGGGUAAAAUCCUGUAAUCCUUCGGGGAGGACCAGUGGCGAAGGCGUCACGCUAGAACGGCUCCGACAGUGAGGGACGAAGCCCUGGGGCGCAAACCGG